ACGCUGGCGGCAUGCCUAACACAUGCAAGUCGAACGGCAGCACAGGCGUAGCCAUACGAUGGGUGGCUAGUGGCGGACUGGUGAGGAAUACAUCGGGACCUACCUAGACGUGGGGGAUAACGUAGGGAAACUUACGCUAAUACCGCAUACGUCCUACGGGAGAAAGCGGGGGAUCUUCGGACCUCGCGCGGUUAGACGGACCGAUGUUCGAAUAGCUACCUGGUGGGGUAACGGCUUACCAAGGCGACGAUCGAUAGCUGGUCUGAGAGGAUGAUCAGCCACACUGGGACUGAGACACGGCCCAGACUCCUACGGGCAGGCAGCAGUGGGGAAUAUUGGACAAUGGGCGCAAGCCUGAUCCAGCAAUGCCGCGUGUGUGAAGAAGGCCUUCGGGUUGUAAAGCACUUUUAUCAGGACUGAAAUACCAUCGGCUAAUACCCGGUGGGGCUGACGGUACCUGAGGAGUAAGCACCGGCUAACUUUCGUGCCGCCAGCCGCGGUAAUACUAAGGGUGCAAGCGUUAA
rnacentral:rRNA from 1 species